AUUGAACGCUGGCGGCAUGCCUUACACAUGCAAGUCGAACGGUAACAGGUCUUCGGAUGCUGACGAGUGGCGAACGGGUGAGUAAUACAUCGGAACGUGCCUAGUAGUGGGGGAUAACUACUCGAAAGAGUGGCUAAUACCGCAUGAGAGCUACGGAUGAAAGCAGGGGAUCGCAAGACCUUGUGCUACUAGAGCGGCCGAUGGCAGAUUAGGUAGUUGGUGGGAUAAAAGCUUACCAAGCCGACGAUCUGUAGCUGGUCUGAGAGGACGACCAGCCACACUGGGACUGAGACACGGCCCAGACUCCUACGGGAGGCAGCAGUGGGGAAUUUUGGACAAUGGGCGAAAGCCUGAUCCAGCCAUGCCGUGUGCAGGAUGAAGGCCUUCGGGUUGUAAACUGCUUUUGUACGGAACGAAAAGACUCUGGUUAAUACCUGGGGUCCAUGACGGUACCGUAAGAAUAAGCACCGGCUAACUACGUGCCAGCCGCCGCCGUAA
rnacentral:rRNA from 1 species